AAUCAACGCCGGCGGCGUGCCUCAGACAUGCAAGUCGAACGAUUAAAGCUCUCUUCGGAGAGUGUAUAGAGUGGCGCACGGGUGAGUAACACGUAAGUAAUCUACCUUCGAGUGGGAGUAACGUCCGGAACGGACGCUAAUACCGCAUAAUGCAGCGGCAUCGCAAGAUGACAGUUGUUAAAGAAUUUAUUCGCUUGAAGAGGAGCUUGCGGCAGAUUAGCUAGUUGGUAAGGUAAUGGCUUACCAAGG
rnacentral:rRNA from 1 species